rnacentral:rRNA from 1 species
AGCAGCCGCGGUAAUUCCAGCUCCAAUAGCGUAUAUUAAAGUUGUUGCAGUUAAAAAGCUCGUAGUUGAAUUUCGGAGUUCUACCGUCGGUCGGGCUACCAAGUCUGUACUGGUGUGUAGAAUUCCUACCUUCUGGGGAACCAUCAUGUUAUUAAUUUAGCGUGGUGGGAAACCAGGACCUUUACCUUGAAAAAAUUAGAGUGUUCAAAGCAGGCUUAUGUCUGAAUACAUUAGCAUGGAAUAAUAGAAUAGGACGGUGGUCCUGUUUUGUUGGUUUCUGAAUCACCGUAAUGAUUAAUAGGGAUAGUUGGGGGCAUUAGUAUUCAAUUGUCAGAGGUGAAAUUCUUGGAUUUAUUGAAGACUAACU